CCUANGGGUGGCAGCAGUGAGGAAUAUUGGGCAAUGCCCGCAAGGGUGACCCAGCAACGCCGCGUGGAGGAUGAAGGCCGUAAGGUUGUAAACUCCUGUUAGAGGAGAAGAAUAGUGCCGAUUGGAUCGGUAUUUGACUGUACCCUCAGAGAAAGCCCCGGCUAACUACGUGCCAGCAGCCGCGGUAAUACGUAGGGGGCAAGCGUUGUCCGGAUUUACUGGGUGUAAAGGGCGCGCAGGCGGGAUAGCAAGUCAGAGGUGAAAUCCUACAGCUUAACUGUAGAACUGCCUUUGAUACUGUUAUUCUUGAGUUCGGGAGAGAGAGACGGAAUUCCAGGUGUAGUGGUGAAAUACGUAGAUAUCUGGAAGAACACCAGUUGCGAAGGCGGUCUCUUGGUCCGAUACUGACGCUGAGGCGCGAAAGCGUGGGGAGCAAACAGGAUUAGAUACCCCGNUANUC
rnacentral:rRNA from 1 species